rnacentral:rRNA from 1 species
GACAGAGGCCUCGAGCGUUAGGCGGAAUCACUGGGCUUACAGCGUGUGUAGGCGGAUCGUUAAGUACCUUGUGAAAUCCCACGGCUCAACCGUGGAACGGCUGGGUAUACUGGCGGUCUUGGGCCAUUCAGGGGCGACUGGAACAAGCGGUGGAGCGGUGAAAUGCGUAGAUAUCGCUUGGAACGCCGAAGGUGAAAACAGGUCGCUGGGGAUGUGCCGACGCUGAGACACGAAAGCCAGGGGAGCAAACGGG